GGAUUGUUCACCCACCAAUAGGGAACGUGAGCUGGGUUUAGACCGUCGUGAGACUGGUUAGUUUUACCCUACUAAUGACAGCGUCGCAAUAAUAAUUCAACUUAGUACGAGAGGAACCGUUAAUUCGCAUAAUUGGUCAUCGCGCUUGGUUGAAAAGCCGGUGGCGCGAAGUUGCCAUGCGCUGGAUUAUGACUAAACGCCUCUAAGUCAGAAUCAGAGCUAAAAGCGACGCAUGCACCAGCCGCCCACUUGCCGACCGGUAGUAGGGGCUAUCCGGCCCCCAAAGGCACGUGUCGUUGGUAAAGCCCGAGCAGCAGAUGAGUCGCGUGGGCCGCCUUGAAGUAUAAUUCCUAUCUCAAGCGACGGGUAGAAUCCUUUGCAGAAGACUUAAAUACACGACGAGGUAUUAUAAGUGGCAGAGUGGCCUUACUGCCACGAUCCACUAAGAUUUAGCCCUGCGUCGCUCCGAUUCGUCCCUCCC
rnacentral:rRNA from 1 species